rnacentral:rRNA from 1 species
GGUAGGGCCGCGCAGUCACCAGCAGUCGCGCGCGCAGGUUUAACUGCGCUCCUUCCUCCCCGCUGACUGUGCUUUACAACCCGAAGGGCUUCUUCAUACACGCGGAAUGGCUGCAUCAGGAUUGCGGCCAUUGUGCGGUAUUCCCCACUGCGGCCUCCCGUAGGAU